rnacentral:lncRNA from 1 species
CAGACAAUUCAUUUUUAUUUCAUAAAACAAAUAGAUGGUUUGUUGUACUGUAUUUUUUAAUAGUUGCAAGCAAUUUCGUUAUAUCAUUAUGUCUAAGAUACAGGAACCAAGCGUACAUUAUUGAAGACAAAGGAAAUUGAGAACACACUUGACAGAAUUAACAGGUAAAUGAAAUCAAUAAAUGCAACUGCCACAUCCCUUCAGUUGAUGUCUGCGCAAAAGCAUCUUCUAGAGUUCCAAGCACACGGCAUACACCAGUUAGCUUAUUUUAAACAGCAAAUUUGUUUCAGUAAUCCAUAUGGGUAACUAAUGGUUUAUUAUAUAUAUGAAAUUCCUUUAGGUGCUGUAUUUUUGCAUGCAUGCUCCAUUCCUUAUUGGUAGGUUCCCUUUUUAACAGAGUCUUUAUUUGUUUUGAAGAUCAAAGUAGGUCAACUCAAUACAAAGCUAUGUAGCAUGGGCGACACCUGUUUCUGCUACCCACACACAUACUCUUUCACUAACUCCCCCUUCUGACCUCUCUCUGCAGGUGACUAUGAGUGAACAGCUACUUCUCUGUGAGACCUGAAUGGGACAUACACAUUGGCAGUAGGCGAAUACUUUAAUGUUUAUUCAUCUAAAAAAGAGUAAAGAUUACAAAAAUAUAAGGAGUAGAAAAACCUUUGACAAGUCAAAAUACAUAAAAUCUCUAGGUAAAGUUUAUUUUGGUCAGGCAGACUUUAGUUUAUCAAAUGUCAAUCCAAAAUAAGAGGGGUAUAAACGAAACAAAAACAUUAUAGUAACUUUAUACUAAAAGGCAACAGUUACCCUUCUUCCCUAAGGCCACUGUACCACAGUAAAUACUCUGAUUCAGUGCAUUACAGCAUCCACAUAUCAGAGUGGUUCCACUUAUGUACUGCUGAUACUAGAAAAAUAACUUUCUUUAAAAUUAUGUAUAAACUAAAGCAAAUUUUCAGGUGCAGUUUUGAUCACCAUAAUUUUAAUUAAAUUGUUCUUCAACAAUCCCACUGAUUUCACAAACCUGUGAAAUCAAACAGAAAAAUACAGAAGUUAGGGCUAGAAUUUAAUGUACACAAAAAUAGGAUAAAAGGGAAAAUGAAUCUUUCACUGUGCUUGCAUUUUGUAAAAGUUUUCCAUAAUGCUGAAUUCAGUUAAAUAUGCAACAAUGAUCAGUAUUUUGAUGCAUCCUGAUUAAUUUUUAUUUCUAAAAUAUUCAGAAGCAAAUCACAGCUUCUUUAGUUAUAUUAUUUGUUCUGAUUAUUCACUGAGGGUUUUUUUUUGGGGGGGGGGAGGGGGUCUGCUGCUUCGUUUUCAGUAGUAGUAAGAGAUUGCAAACAAUGACCAGUGUUUCAAAAAGUAUCAAACAUAAAAAGCAAUUGUUAUGAAUCAGAGAAGCUGAGAUAGCAAUGUUUUGAGUUCUGAUUGUGAUCAUUUUGAAAACCUUCCCCAAAGCAAAAUGGAAAUUUAGCUUUUGCAAAUAUUUAUACACACGUAUUGAAAUAGAUUGUUUUGCAAAUGUUGCUGACUAUAAUACAAUCUGCCCCCUGCCCCAGGUUAUGUAAAGGAUAUAAUGCUUUUACAUUAUACCUAUUACAUGGAUCCAGUUAGACAAUCAGGGUUAUAAACCAGAAAUAAACACCACAACACUUAUAAUUACACAGCUGAACGCAUAAAGGUCUGUGUGUUACUUUAGAAGCCUUCACCUUGCCAUUUUUAAACACUGAAGGAAAUCAGGCACAGCAGCUUCACAUUUAUUCACUCCUCUUGAACAUAUAAAUAUGCAAGCCCUCUUUGGGAGAUUAAAGAAACUUGGCAGCAACAAGCUAUUCCCAUUAUCUCCAGCUAAUCAAUUAACUACACGUGGAACAAGAUCCUUAAGGUUCACUUUACCAGGUGAUAAGCCUGGACUUUAUAUCUGAUAUUGUACUGAUAUUCAACAUACAUGAAUAUGUACAUACCAUGAAAACCUCUGCAUCAAAAAAUGUUAAUUAAGCCUAGGAAAUCUUAGCAACAGUUCUUACCUUUUAUUAACCUCAUAUGUAAUUUUUUUGUCAUUUGUACCUAAUGUUUAACAACUGUUUUCCUUGGGGGUGCUUCAUUUAGCAGAUAUUCAAGUAUUGUCACAGUUUGACCUUAAAGUAAAAAAAUUUGUUUUAAGGCUGGAAAAGCAAAUACAUAUAAGCCUGUUCAUUUGCAAAUUCUUCUCAUGACUGUUACCCACAAAAACUCCAGGGACUGUGAUUGUCUUAGCUGCAGAAGGCAGUGGGAUGCCAGCCAGAAAAUAUAUUCCAUGCUACCCGAUAUACAUUAUGGAAUUCUUGACUGAUGAGAAAUGAUAUUAGCAAGAUCAAAUCAACUUUCAGCUGACAUGAGAUAGAGAUGUGCCAAGGUCAAGAUGGAAGAGAUGAAGGACACCCUGGAAGGGUGAUGGGAUUCAGUGUACCUCUCUCAGUCCCCCUGUAAGACAGAUCUCUGGCUGUCCUCUGAGGUCCCUUUGUUUCUCUCCUUCAGAGAACAAAUAGCUUGGACUAGACUCCCUCCCAUUUACAUAGCUGAAGGUAGGUGAGACAAGUCAUAUUCUGACAAGCUGAUUUCUCCAAUACAAAAGGAAAUGACAAUAAUUUAAAAGUAGUUAAUACAAGCAGGAAGCCACCACUGAGUUACUUGGGGAAAAUAACUGAAAAACUACAGCCAUUUCAAAUUUAGUGAAAUCAUGCCAGAAAGAAACAGAUAGAUAUUAGAAUUGGGGCCCAGACUCGUGACACAUUUUAGAAACAUUAACUGGUGAUUUCUCAUAGCUUUGACAUCAGUUAUCACAUUUUAUCAUUCCUUUGCAGAUCAGGGAAAUAAGACACAGAGAAAAUAAGCAUUGCCCAGAUCCUGCUGUACCACUCACACUGGCGUUGCGCAUUGCCAAACAAAACUUCAUCGAAACACACAGAAGUCACCUAUAUCAACUCUCUGCUCUUCUCCCUCUUCCCCAGUCUCCACAUUCAUGGAUUUUCCCCCUGACAAGAUCAAGAACAGUCACCAUAUUUAUAUCAUAAAAUCUUUAUCUUUUCCGUUACGGAGCUUUUCCUACUUGAUUUUGAAAUCCUUCCUCUUCAUGAUGAAAGAAGAAUUUCUAUGGUUUUGGCUUAGAAUAAAUCUUGGCCUUGUAAAACACAUUUACAGCAAUAGGAUAAUAAGGAGUGUUAAUUUAUUUGUUUUAGAGCUUAGAGAAUACCAGACAAAAGAACGAAAACAGACUUCUUUCAUAGAUCCUUCACCUCCUACUCAUUUUUGCACCCUGGGAUUACAGUCAGGCGUUCUAUGUUUUUUCUGGUUUCUGCACCAAUGUGGUCCCUCUGCUGAAUCAACCAUGCAGUUGUAGAGCCAAAAAAACUUUCAAGGCCUAAUUUAAUGCAAAAGGAUGUACUCCCUUAGCUAGUUGCUCCCUGGGUCUUGCACUUCAUGGGGUCAUUUGCAUUCAAACGAACUGAGUGAAAAGCAGGUGUAGAACAUGACCAAUGUGCUUUGGUAGUACUUCAGGGCUACUUUGUGCUCUUUCUUCAGUGCUGUAAAUGACUAUACAAGGCACUGGUGAAAGAUGACUGGGUUUGAUAGCUCUUGAAAAAAGCUGGGACAAUGAAAUGGGCCAAAAAGCUCACAUGGGUUUGUGGCAAGAUCUUCUUGGCCUGCAGUGAAAGCACUCAGCAAGCAUGGCAAAUGAAGGAAGCAAGAAAGGCAUAGAAGAAUGAGCCCAUCAGUAUGAUUUGGUCCCUAGCUCUUUCCAAUGCUCUGUACUAUGAAGGACACAUGAAAUGGCCAGUUCCUUCCAACCAGAAAGUCUGGACAGCAGUCCCUUAGUCAAACAGCUCAUCGUUAUACCCCUCUACAGCCACACAUAGUUUAAUAGGAUGACUUUGCACCUCACAAUUUUCACAGGCUUAUAGUCACUUGUCCUUACUAAAACUCUAGGAGUAUUGCUUCAUAAGCAUGUCUUGGUUGAAAGGCCAGCUAAAGCAGCCUCAGCUCAUCACUAUCAGAUUCAGAUGUUGCUGCUCCUGAUUCACACAGCACAAAUGUCAGGCAGCCACAGGGUGAGCAGCAACAGAAGACUGAAUUAUCUGAGUAAAAAUGUUCUUUUUACUCAGAGAUUUUCCAAUAAGAUCAGUUCUCAGUUCACUGCAUGUCUUCACAAAGAGCUACGUUCAAGUUACCUUUACUCAACAUGUGUUUUGCAAGAGCAAAGGCUAAAAGGGGGUGGACCAAUCCGAUACAAACAAAACCAAAUCAAGUGAUUUAAUUAAAGUUCAUCAAGAUGCAGCAAAGUAGGCUGCAUUCCCAUUUCUUUGCUAUAAUGGCUAACCUUGUUAACUGCUUGUCAGUUAUUAGUCAGUAAAAGCUUUAUUUUAUUCUCCAAAAUUUUUUAAUAUUAGAGAAGAGCUUUACUUUCCUAGAUGCUUAUUAUUCUUUAUUAUGUCCUUUUAGCAUGAGUUUUUAACACCCCAAUACUAAACAACCUGUGUUUCAACACAUACACUACACAUUGCGAAUUAAACUAAAGUUCUUGUAUCAACCUAUAUCUCCUGCUAUAUCAAUAUACAGCUAGUGGAGUAUUUUUAUUGUGAUGUGUGUAAAUCAAUAUAUGUUUAUAUUUUUAUUUUGGAACAAAAUUCUAACAAAGCUUAGUACAAUUUUGCAGUGAUGAGCAUAGAUGAUUAUCUGUUGAACUUACCUGGGUAUCU